UACAGAGGUCUCAAGCGUUGUUCGGAUUCAUUGGGCGUAAAGGGUGCGUAGGUGGCGCCGUAAGUCGGGUGUGAAAUCCCGGGGCUCAACCCCGGAACUGCACUUGAUACUGCGGUGCUUGAGUACUGGAGAGGAGAUUGGAAUUUACGGUGUAGCAGUGAAAUGCGUAGAUAUCGUAAGGAAGACCAGUGGCGAAGGCGGGUCUCUGGACAGUUCCUGACACUGAGGCACGAAGGCCAGGGGAGCAAACGGG
rnacentral:rRNA from 1 species